UACGUAGGGUGCAAGCGUUAAUCGGAAUUACUGGGCGUAAAGCGUGCGCAGGCGGCUUUGCAAGACAGAUGUGAAAUCCCCGGGCUUAACCUGGGAACUGCAUUUGUGACUGCAUGGCUAGAGUGCGGCAGAGGGGGAUGGAAUUCCGCGUGUAGCAGUGAAAUGCGUAGAGAUGCGGCGGAACACCGAUGGCGAAGGCAGCCCCCUGGGCUGAGAUUGACGCUCAGGCACGAAAGCGUGGGGAGCAAACAGG
rnacentral:rRNA from 1 species